AUUGCUUUCGGGCAUUGAGAGCGGCGUACGGGUGCGGAACACGUGUGCAACCUGCCUUUAUCUGGGGGAUAGCCUUUCGAAAGGAAGAUUAAUACCCCAUAAUAUGUUGAAUGGCAUCAUUCGACAUUGAAAGCUCCGGCGGAUAGAGAUGGGCACGCGCAAGAUUAGAUAGUUGGUGAGGUAACGGCUCACCAAGUCAAUGAUCUUUAGGGGGCCUGAGAGGGUGAUCCCCUACACUGGUACUGAGACACGGACCAGACUCCUACGGGAGGCAGCAGUGAGGAAUAUUGGACAAUGGGUGAGAGCCUGAUCCAGCCAUCCCGCGUGAAGGAUGACGGCCCUAUGGGUUGUAAACUUCUUUUGUACAGGGAUAAACCUGCCCUCGUGAGGGUAGCUGAAGGUACUGUACGAAUAAGCACCGGCUAACUCCGUGCCAGCAGCCGCGGUAAUACGGAGGGUGCAAGCGUUAUCCGGAUUUAUUGGGUUUAAAGGGUCCGUAGGCGGAUCUGUAAGUCAGUGGUGAAAUCUCACAGCUUAACUGUGAAACUGCCAUUGAUACUGCAAGUCUUGAGUAAAUUUGAAGUGGCUGGAAUAAGUAGUGUAGCGGUGAAAUGCAUAGAUAUUACUUAGAACACCAAUUGCGAAGGCAGGUCACUAAGAUUUAACUGACGCUGAGGGACGAAAGCGUGGGGAGCGAACAGGAUUAGAUACCCUGGUAGUCCACGCCGUAAACGAUGCUAACUCGUUUUUGGGUUUUCGGAUUCAGAGACUAAGCGAAAGUGAUAAGUUAGCCACCUGGGGAGUACGUUCGCAAGAAUGAAACUCAAAGGAAUUGACGGGGGCCCGCACAAGCGGUGGAUUAUGUGGUUUAAUUCGAUGAUACGCGAGGAACCUUACCAAGACUUAAAUGGGAAUUGACAGAUUUAGAAAUAGAUCCUCCUUCGGGCAAUUUUCAAGGUGCUGCAUGGUUGUCGUCAGCUCGUGCCGUGAGGUGUUAGGUUAAGUCCUGCAACGAGCGCAACCCCUGUCACUAGUUGCUACCAUUCAGUUGAGGACUCUAGUGAGACUGCCUACGCAAGUAGAGAGGAAGGUGGGGAUGACGUCAAAUCAUCACGGCCCUUACGUCUUGGGCCACACACGUAAUACAAUGGCCGGUACAGAGGGCAGCUACACAGCGAUGUGAUGCAAAUCUCGAAAGCCGGUCUCA
rnacentral:rRNA from 1 species